rnacentral:rRNA from 2 species
UAACAAGGUCUCCGUUGGUGAACCAGCGGAGGGAUCAU